ensembl:snoRNA
ACAGAAUAUGCAGAUGUCAGUGCUGUAUCACAUGUGUGUCAGAAAAGAGAGACACUAUGUCUGCCCAGUAUUUGGACAUGUGAACAUCAGAACAGUUAGUUUUCAUU